GUUGAUGUAGCUUAUAUGAAAGCAAAGCACUGAAAAUGCUUAGAUGGAUGAUUUCGUCCCAUAAACA
rnacentral:tRNA from 1 species